AGUCGAGGGGUAUAGUUCUUCGGAAUUAGAGACCGGCGCACGGGUGCGUAACGCGUAUGCAAUCUACCUUUCACAGAGGGAUAGCCCAGAGAAAUUUGGAUUAAUACCUCAUAGUAUAUAGAGUUGGCAUCAACACUAUAUUAAAGUCACAACGGUGAAAGAUGAGCAUGCGUCCCAUUAGCUAGUUGGUAAGGUAACGGCUUACCAAGGCAACGAUGGGUAGGGGUCCUGAGAGGGAGAUCCCCCACACUGGUACUGAGACACGGACCAGACUCCUACGGGAGGCAGCAGUGAGGAAUAUUGGUCAAUGGGCGCAAGCCUGAACCAGCCAUGCCGCGUGCAGGAUGACGGUCCUAUGGAUUGUAAACUGCUUUUGUACAGGAAGAAACACCUCUACGUGUAGAGACUUGACGGUACUGUAAGAAUAAGGAUCGGCUAACUCCGUGCCAGCAGCCGCGGUAAUACGGAGGAUCCAAGCGUUAUCCGGAAUCAUUGGGUUUAAAGGGUCCGUAGGCGGUUUAGUAAGUCAGUGGUGAAAGCCCAUCGCUCAACGGUGGAACGGCCAUUGAUACUGCUAGACUUGAAUUAUUAGGAAGUAACUAGAAUAUGUAGUGUAGCGGUGAAAUGCUUAGAGAUUGCAUGGAAUACCAAUUGCGAAGGCAGGUUACUACUAAUGGAUUGACGCUGAUGG
rnacentral:rRNA from 1 species